CCUGAAACACGCGAGUGCGCGGCCCCAGUGGCCUAAUGGAUAAGGCACUGGCCUCCUAAGCCAGGGAUUGUGGGUUCGAGUCCCAUCUGGGGUGACUUCUUUUCGCUGCCGAGGAUCCGCGGCGGAUGCCGGGGUGCCCCGCAGAAGGCGCGGACCGGAUCGGACCGGUUCGGUUCGGUUCGCUGGCGGCGGGGAACGCGAUGCGCCCCUUCCUGCAGCCCCUUGCUGCUUCCCCGCUCUCCAUCCCGCACCUCCUGGCGUGGAUCGGGCGUUUUUCGUGCUGUUAAACCAGGCGCGAACUGGGAAUCUGCUUUUAUUCCCUGAAAUUCCCAGCUCCUCCGGCUCCGGUGUCAAGUGCUCGUCCAGGUCUUUACGCCUUUGAAGCAAAGUUUUCCAAAUCUGAGGGAAAGGAGCCCAGAGCAGUGGGUGGUCCUGGCAGUGAGGUCUCCUGGGGAUGGGGAGGCUCAGCUCAGGCUGUUGCUGGCCUGGAUGGUGAUGGUGGGAGGACAUUCAGUGUCACAAAAACAUCGCAAGCAGCGACAUUGCCUUGUUUGCAAAGGCCAGGGCACAGCACAGAGCUUCAGACACCUGUGUCUGUGAGAGGGCUGCUGCUUCCCCUCCCAUGCCCAGGGAAGAAGGGGAUUCACCAUCCCUGGAAGUGCUCAAAACGUGUGUGGAUGUGGCAUUUGGGGAAUGGUUUGCUGGUGAACAUGGCAGUGCUGGGUUGGACUUGAUAAAUCUUAGAGGUGUUUCCCACCCUGAAUGAUUCCUUGCAGAAAAGCUUCUGAUGGGGGAAAAUGUGAAAUGAGAUGUCUGCUCCUGGUGCUGAGAGGAGUGCAGAGGCCAGGGCAGGGCUUUCUGGGGUGUCAGGAUGCAUUGGAAUGGAUUCCAUUUUGGGGAAGAUCUGGGCUUUGAACACUGUUUCUGCAGAUGCAAACAUUCCGUCAGGGGAGAGCUCAAAGCUCCCCUUCCAAAGGGAAUGCAGCAGAGUCCUGAUACCUCCAUGUGCCCCAAAUAAACCCGAGGGACAAAUUCUCUCUCUUAUUUGGGAAUUUGGAAUGUUUUCCUAAAACAGAGCCACCUCUCCCCACCCCAGGUGGGACUCGAACCCACAAUCCCUGACUUAGAAGGCCAGUGCCUUAUCCAUUAGGCCACUGGGGCCCUGCCAAAUACCAAAAAAGGGUAAUUUUGGUUUCUUUGGGCUUCCCAGUAAUCCUGCUUGGCAGUGGUGAAACACAACAGAGCUUCAUCCUCCUUAAACAGGGUCCACUAACGAGCAUGGAGGACUCAUCCAGAGGAUUUUAGUGUCCCACCUCAAAGGCCAGAAGCCUUCUGCACUCACAGGAAAUCUACUGUAGCUUUGUGUUCAGCAGAAGAGGGUGCUCUGAUGCAGCACAGGCUGCUUGAAAAACACAAAGAACAUUAAAUAAAAGUAUCUGACAAAUA